UACGUAGGGGGCGAGCGUUGUCCGGAUUUAUUGGGCGUAAAGGGUGCGCAGGUGGGCUGGUAAGUUCGAUGUGAAAGCCCCGGGCUUAACCCGGGAAUGGCAUUGGAUACUACUGGUCUGGAGGAUCGGAGGGGGGACUGGAAUUCUUGGUGUAGCAGUGAAAUGCGUAGAUAUCAAGAGGAACACCAGUGGCGAAGGCGAGUCCCUGGACGAUACCUGACACUGAGGCACGAAAGCCAAGGGAGCAAACAGG
rnacentral:rRNA from 1 species